UACUUUGACUUGGCAGUCUAAUUACUAAUUAUAGGCUGACAGCUGGUGAUUUUUAGUCACCAGCUU
rnacentral:sRNA from 1 species